UACGAAGGGGGCUAGCGUUGCUCGGAAUCACUGGGCGUAAAGGGUGCGUAGGCGGGUCUUUUAAGUCAGGGGUGAAAUCUUGGAGCUUAACUCCGAAACUGCAUUCGAUACUGCCGUGCUUGAGGACUGGAGAGGAGACUGGAAUUUACGGUGUAGCGGUGAAAUGCGUAGAUAUCGUAAGGAAGACCAGUGGCGAAGGCGGGUCUCUGGGCCUUACCUGACGCUGAGGAGCGAAAGCGUGGGGAGCGAACAGG
rnacentral:rRNA from 1 species